rnacentral:rRNA from 1 species
UACGGGGGAGCAAGCGUUGUUCGGAUUUACUGGGCGUAAAGGGCGCGUAGGCGGUCGUGACAAGUCACUUGUGAAAUCUCCGGGCUUAACUCGGAACGGUCAAGUGAUACUGUCGGACUAGAGUACAGAAGGGGCAACUGGAAUUCUCGGUGUAGCGGUGAAAUGCGUAGAUAUCGAGAGGAACACCUGCGGCGAAGGCGGGUUGCUGGGCUGAUACUGACGUGAGGCGCGAAAGCCAGGGGAGCGAACGGG